UCUGUGAUCCUCCCCUUAGAGAAGGGCAAGAACUAUGAGUGUCAAAUCCACCUGGGCUCCACCAUGAUAAUGAGCCAGCCCUUCCAACAGCCGCUUGAGACGCCAGGUAGUGUUUUCUCAUUACAUACACAGACCUUAGUUACACUGUGUCACAUCUACUGAGGACAUCUAGUCCUAUGCAGAAGGCCCUUCUUGCCUCGUCUCUCAGCUCGUUCACAGCUUUGUGGAAGUUACCUGUGGCGCAGAUGUUUAGGCCGAGUGCCAUGACGUUCUUGAGGAGCAGAUUCAAUGCAUGAGCAGCACAGCCAAUGGGUGUGAUGUGAGGGUAGGACUCCUCCACUUUAGACCAAGCAGCCUUCAUGUUCGCAGCAUUGUCUGUCACCAGUGCAAAUACCUUCUGUGGUCCAAGGUCAUUGACGACUGCCUUCAGCUCAUCUGCAAUGUAGAGACCGGUGUGUCUGUUGUCCCUUGUGUCUGUACUCUUGUAGAAUACUGGAUGAGGGGUGGAGAUGAUGUAGUUAAUUAUUCCUUUCCCACGAACAUUCGACCACCCAUCAGAGAUGAUUGCA
rnacentral:lncRNA from 1 species